rnacentral:rRNA from 1 species
GACGAACGCUGGCGGCGUGCCUAAUACAUGCAAGUAGAACGCUGAAGGAGGAGCUUGCUCUUCUGGAUGAGUUGCGAACGGGUGAGUAACGCGUAGGUAACCUGCCUGGUAGCGGGGGAUAACUAUUGGAAACGAUAGCUAAUACCGCAUAAGAGUAGAUGUUGCAUGACAUUUGCUUAAAAGGUGCAAUUGCAUCACUACCAGAUGGACCUGCGUUGUAUUAGCUAGUUGGUGGGGUAACGGCUCACCAAGGCGACGAUACAUAGCCGACCUGAGAGGGUGAUCGGCCACACUGGGACUGAGACACGGCCCAGACUCCUACGGGAGGCAGCAGUAGGGAAUCUUCGGCAAUAGACGGAAGUCUGACCGAGCAACGCCGCGUGAGUGAAGAAGGUUUUCGGAUCGUAAAGCUCUGUUGUAAGAGAAGAACGAGUGUGAGAGUGGAAAGUUCACACUGUGACGGUAUCUUACCAGAAAGGGACGGCUAACUACGUG